GAAUACUUAAGAGCUAUAUUUUCCAAGAGUUGUGGCCUCAAAGAUGCUAUGAAUGUGUGUGUGUAUGUGUUGGAGGUGAGAUUCCCUAGAAAAUUAACUUAGAGAAAGGCCCAAACUAUGGUGGAGGUAA